rnacentral:rRNA from 1 species
UACAGGGGGUGCUAGCGUUGUUCGGAAUUACUGGGCGUAAAGGGCGCGUAGGUCGUCUCGCAAGUCGGAAGUGAAAUCCCGGAGCUUAACUCCGGAAUUGCUCCCGAUACUGCGGGGCUAGAGUGUAUUAGAGGAUGGCGGAAUUCCUAGUGUAGUGGUGAAAUACGUAGAUAUUAGGAAGAACACCGGUGGCGAAGGCGGCCAUCUGGGAUAUAACUGACACUGAGGCGCGAAAGCGUGGGGAGCAAACAGG